AUCAUAGAGAAAGGAAUUCACUUGAUUUAAAUUUGAUUACAUAAUUCUAUCCAAUAAAUGCAUGCUAAUUACCAUCUAUAUCUCAAAUGCUCUGGAGCAUAGUAGAAAAAGAGACUUUUCCUCACCCUUAAAGAACUAAAAAAUCUUUCUACAACUAGAAUCAAUUAGAAAAUAAGUUUAUCACUAUGAAUUGUGUGUGUGUGUGUGUGUGUGUCUGCACAGUAUAUUCUCUGGUAGUCCCAAGAAGACAGGGUAGGCUUCCAUUUUGGACAAUGAGAAUCCAUAAACCUCAUCAGAGAAGAAAGUGACUCCUGGUGAAUCUGAUGCAGAUUUACAACAGCACACUUUAUGGUAUUCUGCAUAUUUUCAGUAGUUAAAACACUAGGUAGUCAUUGUCAGCUGCUUGGUUUCAUACUCUGGUUCUGUCUGACGUGAGCUUGGAGGUGAUCUUGGCCUAUCAAAUAAGGUCAUUGUGAAGAUAAAAUAGAAAAUCUUACAAAGAUUUAAAGUACCACCUGGCAUUUAAAGUACUCUGUGAUGUUGGCUAGAAUUGUUUUGCUGAUUUUGUUGUUGCAAUUUCAGUUAGUAACCUGAUCUUCAAAUUAUCUUAAUAACUACAGGGGAAUAUAUUGUAAAGGAUCAGUGGUAUCUGUGGGACCCACAAUAUCAGAGUACAGUCACACACCAUUGAUGAAAUACUAAAAUCAGGUCCUGGAAAUCUACCAAAGGGGCCUCUGUCUUAAUCAUUCAUGGAAACCACAGAGCUUCUCAACUCUAUUUCUCUCUAUACACCUCUCUUUGUUGACUAUCUAUUUCCUCCAAAGCAUGGUAAAUCAUGGUAGGACAUACUUUUUGAAUUUACAUUAAUUCUACCUGUAAGAAACUAACAAGCCCCAUUCAGUCCCAUUUUCAUAUUCCUAGAAGAUUAUAAUUGAUUCUUUUUAGGACUGUUGAUUACCUACCAUUGGCUCAAUUGGCUGUGAAGUGGUAUGCAGGCUCUUUAGUGCAAACAACUUCUAGAAUCCAACUGCAUGUAUGGGGGUGAUUCUAAAAUAGGAAAAGCUGUGAGCAAGUUGGGCAAGUACCCUUAAAAGUAUCUGCCACAAAGAGUUUCCAAUAUUGCCACAGUUAGGAGUAAUUCAAGAUUCCUAUAAAAUGUACUGUGAGCUCUGUUCAAAGAAUUUUCUGGUAUACAACACAAUUAUUAUUUGGAUAUUGCUGGA
rnacentral:lncRNA from 12 species